rnacentral:rRNA from 1 species
GUAGUCUCGCACAGAUGCAUAUCAAUAAGCGGAGGAAAAGAAACUAACAAGGAUUCCCUUAGUAACGGCGAGUGAAGCGGGAAGAGCUCAAAUUUGAAAUCUUCAAGGUUUUACCUUGACGAAUUGUAGUUUAAAGAAGUGUUUUCUGUUGAAGUUUUGGUAAAAGUUCUUUGGAAUAGGACAUCAUAGAGGGUGAGAAUCCCGUAUUUGACCAUUAUUUUCAGCUGUGUGAUACACUUUCAAAGAGUCGGAUUGUUUGGGAAUGCAGUCCAAAAUGGGUGGUAAAUUUCAUCUAAAGCUAAAUAUUGGCGAGAGACCGAUAGCGAACAAGUACCGUGAGGGAAAGAUGAAAAGAACUUUGAAAAGAGAGUUAAACAGUACGUGAAAUUGUCAAAAGGGAAGCGUUUGACACCAGUGUUGUUUUUCUGAAAAUCAAUUAAAAGAGUACUGAUUUAUGCUAGCUGUAUUAGACCUUUAAUCAGCUACUGCAUUUCAAUUUUUGAGCUUUUCUUUAAUGCACUUUUCAGUUUAACAAGUCAACAUCAGUUUCUUUUGCUGUAAAAAAGGUCAUUGAGGAAGGUGGCUUGAUUCGUCUGAGAAAGUGUUUAUAGCCUCUUGCCUAUGCAAUCGGAGAGAUUGAGGUCUGCAGCGUAGAUCCUUCGGGGUCUAGAUACAUUUGUGCUAAGUUAUAGCAUUUUUAUAGACAACUUGUUGACUAUGAUUAGUCUUGUAGCUUACUCGCUUAUGCUAUUUUACCUACGCUUAGGAUGUUGAGCGCAUGUCUCUCUCU